GGAGUGGUGCUCGAGUGGCUGAAGAGGCACGCCUGGAAAGCGUGUAUACGCCAAAAGCGUAUCCCGAGUUCGAAUCUCGGUCACUCCGCCA
rnacentral:tRNA from 1 species